UUCCCAAGAGAGGUUGAAAAUAACCGAUUCCCCACAGUUCUUUAGGAGAACAGGUUGAGAAUCAAUUUGUCCAAGAGUCCCCUCCUUUGUAAAGUGAGCCAGAGUAUGACUAAUCCCACACACCCAGGUCCAUCUGGGCGAGACAAAGCCAGGGACUGUGCGCCUCUUCUCAGGCCACAGGAAACCUGGACAGCAGCCUCUGCCAACCUUUGAAGUGUCUGUUUCCUCAGCCCUUCAGGCUCCGGGGAGAGGCUCCACCUUCCACCUCUGACCCAACAGGAAGCAGGAAGAUUUUCUGCUUGUCCAGCAAUAGCCCAGUCAGUGAGCAUCUGCCACAGCCACAACCCAGCCAAUGAGAAGCCAUCACCACCCUGAACUCUCACUUUCCUCCAAUGGACUUUUCUUCCAAGCAACCCCUCCCAGCUUCUUCCUUUUUUCCUAGAAGACUCAGCGUACUCUGUUCUGAGAACUUGUGAAUGCCAUGGCCAUUCAGCAGGUACCCUUUCUUGACUGACUUCUUUCUCCCAGGAUAAUGUUUUUGAGGUUCAUCUAUGCUGAGUAGGCUCCCAACCUGGGGCUCGAACUCAUACCCUGAGAUCAUGACCUGAACUGAGAUCAAGAGUUGGACACUUAGUUGACUGAGUCACCCAGAUGCCCUGGACUUUUGAAUUCUUAAGAUGUCCAAUUUAUCAAUUGUUUUAUGGCUCGUGCUUUUUGUGCUUUAAAUCUUGGCUUACUACAAUGUCAUAAGUACUUUUGCUUCUGUUUUAUGGUUUCAACUUUUAAGUCUAAGCUCCAGUUCAAAUAAAUUUU